rnacentral:ribozyme from 1 species
UACCCAGCAACUCCUAUCCCUACCUCCUCGUGGUUCUGGCUGGGGUACGAGUAACCUUGGGGAAGAUCGGGUAACCAACCCCCUGUGGGAACUUUGGUCGUAUGCUGACAGGGAAGG